UGCCAGCAGCCGCGGUAAUACGGAGGUCCCAAGCGUUGUUCGGAUUCACUGGGCGUAAAGGGUGCGUAGGUGGCUGGGAAAGUUUGAUGUGAAAGCUCCGGGCUCAACCCGGAAAAUGCAUUGAAUACUGCUCAGCUAGAGGAUCGGAGGGGAAACUGGAAUUCUUGGUGUAGCAGUGAAAUGCAUAGAUAUCAAGAGGAACAUCAGUGGCGAAGGCGAGUUUCUGGACGAUUCCUGACACUGAGGCACGAAGGCUAGGGGAGCAAACAGGAUUAGAUA
rnacentral:rRNA from 1 species